rnacentral:rRNA from 1 species
GACGAACGCUGGCGGCGUGCUUAACACAUGCAAGUCGAACGGAAAGGCCCUGCUUUUGUGGGGUGCUCGAGUGGCGAACGGGUGAGUAACACGUGAGUAACCUGCCCUUGACUUUGGUAUAGCUUCAGGAAACUGGGGCUAAUACCGGAUAGGAGCUCCUGCUGCAUGGUGGGGGGUGGAAAGUUUCGGCGGUUGGGGAUGGACGCGCGGCUUAUCAGCUUGUUGGUGGGGUAGUGGCUUACCAAGGCUGUGACGGGUAGCCGGCCGGAGAGGGUGGCCGGCCACCAUGGGACUGAGAUACGCACCAGACUCCUACGGGAGGCAGCAGUGGGGAAUCUUGCCCAAUGGGAGGAAGCCUGAUGCAGAAACGCCGCGUGCGGGAUGACGGCCUUCGGGUUGUAAACCGCUUUAGCCUGUGACGAAGCGUGAGUGACGGUACUGGGUAAAGAAGCACCGGCUAACUACGUG